rnacentral:rRNA from 1 species
CUGAACAGCCAUGCCGCGUGCAGGAUGACGGCCCUAUGGGUUGUAAACUGCUUUUGUACGGGAAGAAUAGCUCUACGUGUAGAGUGAUGACGGUACCGUAAGAAUAAGGAUCGGCUAACUCCGUGCCAGCAGCCGCGGUAAUACGGAGGAUCCAAGCGUUGUCCGGAUUUAUUGGGUUUAAAGGGUGCGUAGGCGGUUUGAUAAGUCAGUGGUGAAAGUUUGCGGCUUAACCGUAAAAUUGCCAUUGAAACUGUCAGACUUGAGUAUGGUUGAGGUAGCUGGAAUGUGUCAUGUAGCGGUGAAAUGCUUAGAUAUGAUACAGAACACCGAUUGCGAAGGCAAGUUACUAAACCAUAACUGACGCUGAGGCACGAAAGCAUGGGGAUCAAACAGGAUUAGAUACCCUGGUAGUCCAUGCUGUAAACGUUGAUUACUCGUUGUUGGCGAUACACAGUCAGCGACUAAGCGAAAGCGUUAAGUAAUCCACCUGGGAAGUACGACCGCAAGGUUGAAACUCAAAGGAAUUGACGGGGGCCCGCACAAGCGGAGGAGCAUGUGGUUUAAUUCGAUGAUACGCGAGGAACCUUACCUGGGCUUGA